rnacentral:sRNA from 1 species
AUUGACUUAGUCUAUCUUGAUCUUUCAAUAUCUUGCAUCUUCCAAUAACUUGGCUCCAAAGUUAAUCGUUUUGUGAUUGAGUAUAUCCACCAAUGCUCCCCAACAGUCAUCUUCAAAAUUAAAGCAACCUUCUUGUAUCCUCUACUCCAACAAUGUUUCAUUCCCAUGACCAAAACUCUUACGUGAAAAAAUACGGGUGGAGAUUAAUAUAGUAAUUAACAUUAAUGUUAGAUGUGCUUGAUUCGUGAAGGAUAAUAAAUUAAAAUUUUAUCUAAAACUUUUAACCAUAGUGGG